GAUGAACGCUGGCGGCGUGCCUAAUACAUGCAAGUCGAGCGAACAGACGAGGAGCUUGCUCCUCUGACGUUAGCGGCGGACGGGUGAGUAACACGUGGAUAACCUACCUAUAAGACUGGGAUAACUUCGGGAAACCGGAGCUAAUACCGGAUAAUAUAUUGAACCGCAUGGUUCAAUAGUGAAAGACGGUUUUGCUGUCACUUAUAGAUGGAUCCGCGCCGCAUUAGCUAGUUGGUAAGGUAACGGCUUACCAAGGCAACGAUGCGUAGCCGACCUGAGAGGGUGAUCGGCCACACUGGAACUGAGACAUGGUCCAGACUCCUACGGGAGGCAGCAGUAGGGAAUCUUCCGCAAUGGGCGAAAGCCUGACGGAGCAACGCCGCGUGAGUGAUGAAGGUCUUCGGAUCGUAAAACUCUGUUAUUAGGGAAGAACAAAUGUGUAAGUAACUAUGCACGUCUUGACGGUACCUAAUCAGAAAGCCACGGCUAACUACGUG
rnacentral:rRNA from 1 species